rnacentral:rRNA from 1 species
UACAGGGGAUGCGAGUGUUAUCCGGAAUUAUUGGGCGUAAAGCGUUCGUAGAUUGAUAUACAAGUCUUUCGUAAAAAAAUUGGGCUUAACCCAGUAAUCGCGUAAGAUACUAUAUAUCUAGAGUAUAAUAGAGGCAAAGGGAAUUUUCAGUGGAGCGAUGAAAUGUGUAGAUAUUGGAAGGAACACCAAUGGCGAAGGCACUUUGCUGGGUUAUACUGACAUUGAUGAACGAAAGUUGGGGGAGCAAACAGG